rnacentral:ncRNA from 1 species
UUCUUCAUAGUCUUCCUGCUUUGUUAGUCUACUUAGUAUAUUAUGCUAAUUCCAUAAUUGGUAAGAAGUUGAAGGUAUAGUCUACUCCAGUACGAAAGUAUUGGGCAAUUAGGUCCGUUGCAAGGGACUCCGAAGAGCUGUGGCAAGGGGUGAAAAGCCAAUCUAACCUGGAGAUAGCUGGUCUUCUGCGAAACCCGUUUUAGCGGGUCGCCCAUUUAUUGAAAUUAAAUUCGUUACUAGACGGUACGGCACUGGAAGCCACGCAGCUUUUGCUGCAUAAUCGGGGGGCUGUCAUGGCUCUAUCGAUGGCUUCUAACCCCGGAAAUGUAUAGUAUACAAUGAUGGGCAAUCAGACGUAUCGUGAUAAGGCGAUUCGUCAAAAGGGCA